AGACGGGGUCUUGCUCUGUUGUCCGGGCUGUAGUGCAGUGGCACCAUCAUGGCUCACUGCUGCCUCAACCUUCUGGACUCAAGCAGUCCUCCCACCUCAGCCUCUUGGAGUAGCUGGAACUACAGAGCAUCUGCCCUGUCCAAGGAGGUGAUAUGCACAGGAAGGAUGUUGGAAGCAACGACUGUAAACCAAGCUGACUGAUUUCCCUUAAGAAAGGAAGAAGUUAUUUGACCUGGUGAAAAACUUGGAAAACCUGCAUAUUCAAGGUACAAUCAACUAAAAAAAAAA